rnacentral:lncRNA from 1 species
GAGUAUGUCAGUCUAUUGGAGCAUCUCAGUCUGCUGGAGUAUGUCAGUCUAUUGGAGCAUCUCAGUCUGCUGGAGUAUGUCAGUCUAUUGGAGCAUCUCAGUCUGCUGGAGUAGGUCUAUUGGAGCAUCUCAGUCUGCUGGAGUAUGUCAGUCUGUUGGAGCAUCUCAGUCUGCUGGAGUAUGUCAGUCUGUUGGAGCAUCUCAGUCUGCUGGAGUAUGUCAGUCUGUUGGAGCAUCUCAGUCUGCUGGAGUAUGUCAGUCUGUUGGAGCAUCUGUCUGCUGGAGUAUGUCAGUCUGUUGGAG